GAGGGCGACGUGCUAUACAUGCAGUCGAGCGGACUAAUGGGAGCUUGCUCCCGUUAGUUAGCGGCGGACGGGUGAGUAACACGUGGGCAACCUACCUGUAAGACUGGGAUAACUUCGGGAAACCGGAGCUAAUACCGGAUGACAUAAAGGAACUCCUGUUCCUUUAUUGAAAGAUGGCUUCGGCUAUCACUUACAGAUGGGCCCGCGGCGCAUUAGCUAGUUGGUGAGGUAACGGCUCACCAAGGCGACGAUGCGUAGCCGACCUGAGAGGGUGAUCGGCCACACUGGGACUGAGACACGGCCCAGACUCCUACGGGAGGCAGCAGUAGGGAAUCUUCCGCAAUGGACGAAAGUCUGACGGAGCAACGCCGCGUGAGCGAUGAAGGCCUUCGGGUCGUAAAGCUCUGUUGUUAGGGAAGAAUAAGUGCUAGUUAAAUAAGCUGGCACCUUGACGGUACCUAACCAGAAAGCCACGGCUAACUACGUGCCAGCAGCCGCGGUAAUACGUAGGUGGCAAGCGUUGUCCGGAAUUAUUGGGCGUAAAGCGCGCGCAGGCGGUUUCUUAAGUCUGAUGUGAAAGCCCCCGGCUCAACCGGGGAGGGUCAUUGGAAACUGGGAAACUUGAGUGCAGAAGAGGAAAGUGGAAUUCCAAGUGUAGCGGUGAAAUGCGUAGAGAUUUGGAGGAACACCAGUGGCGAAGGCGACUUUCUGGUCUGUAACUGACGCUGAGGCGCGAAAGCGUGGGGAGCAAACAGGAUUAGAUACCCUGGUAGUCCACGCUGUAAACGAUGAGUGCUAAGUGUUAGAGGGUUUCCGCCCUUUAGUGCUGAAGUUAACGCAUUAAGCACUCCGCCUGGGGAGUACGGUCGCAAGACUGAAACUCAAAGGAAUUGACGGGGGCCCGCACAAGUGGUGGAGCAUGUGGUUUAAUUCGAAGCAACGCGAAGAACCUUACCAGGUCUUGACAUCCUCUGACAACCCUAGAGAUAGGGCUUUCCCUUCGGGGACAGAGUGACAGGUGGUGCAUGGUUGUCGUCAGCUCGUGUCGUGAGAUGUUGGGUUAAGUCCCGCAACGAGCGCAACCCUUGAUCUUAG
rnacentral:rRNA from 1 species